rnacentral:misc_RNA from 1 species
CGCACAUUGCGCCCCUUGGUAUUCCAUGGGGCAUGCCUGUUCGAGCGUCAUUUGUACCCUCAAGCUCUGCUUGGUGUUGGGCGUCUUGUCUCUCUCUUCGGGGAGCAGACUCGCCUUAAAGUCAUUGGCAGCCAGUGUUUUUGGCAGUAAGCGCAGCACAUUUUGCGUCUUCGUCCCGGAACAGUGGCAACCAACAAGCCCUUUUUAUCACUUUUGACCUCGGAUCAGGUAGGGAUACCCGCUGAACUUAA